GACGAACGCUGGCGGCGUGCUUAACACAUGCAAGUCGAACGGAAAGGCCCUGCUUUUGUGGGGUGCUCGAGUGGCGAACGGGUGAGUAACACGUGAGUAACCUGCCCUUGACUUUGGGAUAACUUCAGGAAACUGGGGCUAAUACCGUAUAGGAGCUCCUGCUGCAUUGUGGGGGUUGGAACGUUUCGGCGGUUGGGGAUGGACUCGCGGCUUAUCAGCUUGUUGGUGGGGUAGUGGCUUACCAAGGCUUUGACGGGUAGCCGGCAUGAGAGGGUGACCGGCCACCAUGGGACUGAGAGACGGACCAGACUCCUACGGGAGGCAGCAGUGGGGAAUAUUGCACAGUGGGCGGAAGCCUGAUGCAGAAACGCCGCGGGCGGGAUGACGGCCUUCGGGUUGUAAAACGCUUUCGCCUGUGACGAAGCGUGAGUGACGGUAAUGGGUAAAGAAGCACCGGCUAACUACGUG
rnacentral:rRNA from 1 species